GGGCCCGCACAAGCGGUGGAGUAUGUGGUUUAAUUCGAUGCAACGCGAAGAACCUUACCAGGGUUUGACAUCCUGCGAAUCUCUUGGAAACAGGAGAGUGCCUUCGGGAACGCAGUGACAGGUGGUGCAUGGCUGUCGUCAGCUCGUGUCGUGAGAUGUUGGGUUAAGUCCCGCAACGAGCGCAACCCACGUCUUUAGUUGCCAGCAUUUAGUUGGGCACUUUAAGGAAACUGCCGGUGAUAAGCCGGAGGAAGGUGGGGAUGACGUCAAGUCCUCAUGGCCCUUACAGGCUGGGCUACACACGUGCUACAAUGGCGAUGACAGUGGGCAGCGACCCGCAAGGUGAGCUAA
rnacentral:rRNA from 1 species